AGCCAACAACAUUAGCUGCUGAAAGCACAUCAGAGGGAAAAACUGGAACUGAAAUUGGAGUUGGUGACACUGAACCAGAAACACCCACGGAAGAGAUUAGAGAAGUGGAUGGCACUGUAUCUCAUGACAGCAAAGUGGAAAACAUAGAGGUCACAGCAAUAGAAAAAGAGGAAUAUAUAGGGCAAGAUGUGUCAAACAAUGAUACAAGUGAUGCUGAUGACAGUUUUGAUGACAUGCUUACAGAGGAAGUGGAAGACAAGCAAUGGCUUCUGAAAGUAAAAUUGGUAAUGACCAGCAAACACACAGAGAGACUGGAGGCCAAAGUGAGAAACAUAAAAUUGUAUGGCUCUUCAUUUCAUUGCCUGAAACCGAGAAGCUGGAUAAGUGAUGAGGUACAAGCCAUCUCAUCAGUAGUUUCCACUGCCAUUCUCUCAGGCAGAGCUACACAAAUGAAAGUGAAGAGUGAAUUACUUCAAAAUGAUAUAUUACUGCUUCCUUACCACACACCAGGUCAUUGGGUUCUUGCGAUAGCCUUGAUGAAAAAAAAGGAAUUGUUAAUAAUUGACCCCUUGUGUGAUGAGAUCAGAUAUGAAAGAACAUGCCUGAGGAAUUGGAGAAACUUCAUCAAAUGAUUAACUAGUAAAUCCUCAUCUGAUUGGAACAGUAAAAUUGUGCAGCAUCCCAGACAAAGUGAUGGCCACAACUGUGGACCACUCAUCUUAAAGUUUGCAGAAACAUAUUUGCAGCACAAAGACAUCAGUACGGUGGAAACAACACAGAAGGCUAAUACUGCGUUUAGAAGACAUAUAGCAAUUCUUCUAAUGAAGGAGUCAGAACGCGUGGAGGACUACUGCAUAUACUGCAACCUUAUCGACUGUGAAAAAGAAAGUGAGGAUUGCACGAUGGUCCAGUGUGAUUCUUGCAAGAGGUGGGCACACAUACCAUGCAUUACAGAAGGAACCAAUCAAGAAAACCUGACAUAUGAGAAGGAGUACAACUGCAAGACAUGUGCAUAGUUCACUUCAUUACCAAAAAAAAAAAAAAGGCAAUAAAGAAAACCCAUUGUUUAACUGCCUCUUGUUCAAAACAUAAUGCAACCCAAAGAAAUAUAUUUCUACGUAUACAUCAGAUUAAAAUAAAUGUUUUUGAUGUUAAAUAUA